GGACUUUGCGGGGGCAUGAUAUGUGGAACUGCUCUCCAAACCUUGCUUCUGAUGAUUGUGCUCUACAAAACCAACUGGAAUAAAGAGGUAAAAUCAAUAUUUCAAUUCAUUGCAAAUCAUAAACAAUGUGAGAUUUGAAAAUAUCCACAUCGAAAUGAAACUGCAGGUGGAGCAAGCAACAAAACGAGUGAGGAAGUGGGGUGGUCAAGACGUCACAGCUGAGAAUGGAGCUCAAAGUACCUGAAAUUCUUUGCUCCUUCAAUGUUCAAUGUUCAAACUUUUUGUUUUGGAUGAAUAAAUAUCCUUAAGUACAAGUACAAAAAAGGCAACGAUAUAGUGAGAUUUCUAGCUUUGCCAUUUUCAGAGGCCAAUGCAUAUUCCUCUGUUCAUAAGCUUAACGGUGUCGGCGCCUAUUUUUGGACUUUGGCCAACCAUUACCAUGAUUUGAGUAUGAUAUGAGCCACACUACACCAAGCGACGGUCCUGAUUUUUUUUGCAAUUUCAAUUAUAUUUUCAAUAAAACUUAAAAGCCACAAAAGGUUUUGGUUACUUUUUCAAAAAAGAAAUAGACUUGUG
rnacentral:lncRNA from 1 species